UCUAGUUAUACAGUCACAAGACAUAUUUCCUAAUCUUUAAACGGAAACGCCCACGCGUGUUCUCACGGAAUAUGCUGACGGACUGUCUAGCUCCCAGUCUCAAUUAUUAGAUAUUAAGUUAGUCUUAAGCUAAUCACCAAUGUAACCGGUUGAUUAAAUAUUAAUUAAAAAUAAAAUUUUAUUCUUUUUAAAAACGCUCCAGCGCGACCUCGCGUUUUGACUGGCGCAGCCGGUAGGAUUUUCACAUCCCGCGAGUAUAUAACUAAAUUGAAAAUACUCAAAUCGAUUUUCAUAGUUCUUGAAAUACCGUGGACUGUCUAAUAGCAGAGUGAAAAUCCGCGAAUCAAAUAAAUAAGUCAAAUAGAAGAGCAUUAAAAUAAUAUCCGGUGCAGUGUGUGAUUAGUGACUCAGGAAGAAUGGAAUUGGGCUGGCGGUUGUUACUCCUGCUGGUACAUCUGACCCCAAGCCAGGCCCUUCAACUGCAAAAGAUUAAUAGAAAUCCAGGCCUCCUACCCAUUAAAGAAGGUCAAGCAGUAGUAGCUUACGACAGAUGGACCGUGAUAAAGAUUUUAGAUUUUAAAGCUAUCAACAACGAACUAAAACUAAAUACAAAUAACUUCUUAACACUUAAAACCGAAGUCCAAAAUUGUUUCGACACUAGCCUAUUCAAUUUGCAUUUCCAAGAAGUACAGUUACAAACUAGUUUCAUAAUGAAUAUAACAGUGGAAAAAUAUAAGCAAUUAGUUCCGACUUCAAAAUCUAAACGUGGUUUAUUGAAUCCUAUUGGAACAUUCAUUAAAGCAAUAACAGGCAAUCUUGAUAAUGAAGAUGCUAUUAGAUAUGAAGAUUUAAUUAAUAAAUUAAAAACUAGACAGGACGCUAUUAGUAAUAAAAUAACCAUUGUUUCCGAAAUGAUGAGUACUGUAACAAAAAUUAUUAAUGUAACAAGGAAUAAUUUCAUUCAAAUUAAAGAACGUUUUGAGGACAUAGAUCUCAGGUUAAACAAUUCUAAAAUGCUACAAAUGAGCAAUGAAAUUAUUCAUUUUUAUAAUAUUUUUACCCAUAACUUUCAAACUAUUUACUCAAGACUAAAUGAAAUUGAAACAGCUCUCGCUUUUGCUAGGAUUAAAAUAUUA